rnacentral:rRNA from 1 species
GAUGAACGCUGGCGGCGUGCCUAAUACAUGCAAGUCGAGCGAACAGACGAGGAGCUUGCUCCUCUGACGUUAGCGGCGGACGGGUGAGUAACACGUGGAUAACCUACCUAUAAGACUGGGAUAACUUCGGGAAACCGGAGCUAAUACCGGAUAAUAUAUUGAACCGCAUGGUUCAAUAGUGAAAGACGGUUUUGCUGUCACUUAUAGAUGGAUCCGCGCCGCAUUAGCUAGUUGGUAAGGUAACGGCUUACCAAGGCAACGAUGCGUAGCCGACCUGAGAGGGUGAUCGGCCACACUGGAACUGAGACACGGUCCAGACUCCUACGGGAGGCAGCAGUAGGGAAUCUUCCGCAAUGGGCGAAAGCCUGACGGAGCAACGCCGCGUGAGUGAUGAAGGUCUUCGGGUCGUAAAACUCUGUUAUUGGGGAAGAACAAAUGUGUAAGUAACUAUGCACGUCUUGACGGUACCUAAUCAGAAAGCCACGGCUAACUACGUG